ensembl:lncRNA
UAUUCAGCAAAUUAUUUAAUUUCUCUGCACCUAAAUUUGCUCAGUCAUGAAAUAUGGCUCAUUUUACCUAUUUCAUAGGGUUGCUCAAGGAUUAAAUGAGACAGCAUAAGUCACAUGCCUGCCUCAUAAUAGGUGCUCAAUAGAAGGGAGCUAUAUUACAGUGGCAGGAAAGGAAAUAAUGGAUUCAAGUACCUGAAAGGUUUGCCUCUGAGGGAGUGUCAGAUUGCAUUCUGCACAUAAAUAAUGCUCCCCGAACCCAAAAGAUCAUUGUCAUUUUUUGUCAUGUGCUAAAAUAUUAUCAGUAGAGACCCUGGAGGAAUCAAUGUGACAGUGUUUGAAUGAAUUAAUGAAGUUGCUCGCCUCAGCCAGGACUCUUUUCGCUUCUUUCCUCCAGGUGUACAAUCUAUUUAAAAAUCUGGGGGCUGGCCCCAUGGCCUAGUGGUUAAGUUCGGUGUGCUGCACUUCAGUGGCCCGGGUUUGGUUCCCAGAUGCAGACCCACACCACUCGUCAGCAGCCAUGCUGUGGUGGUGACCCACAUACAAAAUAGAGGAAGUUUGGCACAGAUGUUAGUUCAGGGCGAAUCUUCCUCAGCAAAAAAAGCAAAGUAAAGUAAAGUAAAAUAAAUAAAUAAAAAUCUGUACACUAGUGCUUAAUAAUUCUCUCUUACAACUUUUUCACAGAGCUUUUGCUGAAUGCUUUCACAGCUCUUAGAGUCAAAUUAUGUCACACACUUGACCAUUGUAUUCAUAGGACCAGAUAUUUGGGGCCUAAAGUAUAUAAACAUACAAUGAUGAGUAAGUGAAGUAUUUCAUAUUUAAAUGAUAAAGAAAUAUUAUUUUUAAGUUUGCUCCUGAUGGAUAGAUCUGAAAUGGCUAAAAAAAUUAAUUUUCGUAAAUGAGAGAAUGAGAAUAUGCCCAAAGAGGCUAAUUCUGGGCUGGGAAUAGCAAUAGUGAAAAAGAGUUCUCUAAUCAAAAAGCCUUAGAAGUGGAAACUUUGCCCUCUAUAUAAAGAGGCAUUAAUGAUGCAACCUGGGUAGUAUCUUCAGGCUUGGCCUAGAGCCAUCUUAAAAGGAAGGAAACCUUUGAUCUUUGGAGGAGGGUGUCUGGUUGUAGAGAUCCUACCUUUGGAGAUAAGAGGCUGGCAGGCCCACUGCAUUCUAGCUUUCACUUGACAGAGGAAGUCAAGAACCAAGAGACCAGAGCUGACUGGGUCGGCUCUGAGACAUCCCCUGGGUUGUUAUUUUUGUUGCCUGGGUCAGUUUCCUAUGAUGAUUACCAAUAAAAUCUCUAAAAUCAUCUUUAAAAAUAAUGUUCAUUCUGUAGUAGUGAUAGGAAACCGUUCUGUAGUCGGUAGCCAGACUUCAGUGUGGGGAGAAAAAUCAUCAAGGAUGGAGAGAAGCAACCAUGAAAGAGAGAGAAGCAGGCUGAGUCCCGGAGGCCUUGGUGAGGAAGAAAGCAGGAGAUCUGGCCGGAGAAGGGCUGCUGAGGAUCUCAGACAGUGUAGGAUCCAGCAAGGAAACUGCUGUCUCUUAGGUUCUAACAAUUCAAGCUUUUUGUUUCUUCUCUCCAGGUUUACAAUCUAUUUAAAACUCUGUACUUUAGUACGUAAUAAUUCUUUCUUACAACUUUUUCACAGAGCUUUCCGAAAGAAUUUAUCUUCUGGGUUUGGGGAAUGCUGAGAAGUCCAGCUCACUAGGAAAUAAAUUCAACCUGAUGACUUAAGCAAACUUCCUGAAUGGCCAAUGUAUGAAUUUAUCUCCAAUUCAAGAAUGAACAGAGCAUUGUCUUACCAAAUGUCAUCAUUUCCUGCCUUUGAGAAGGGACUAGAAAGACUUGUGCUGAACCAAUUCAGAGUAUUUUAGGGCAGCUCAGGCUCCCCAAAGGCACAUCUCCUAAGAUACAGAGUCAUUUGGAGGCCGUGUCGCUGUUCCCCACCCAGCCGCAGAAGUGUCCGAGGGCUUCUUCUUCCUCACCCUAUUCAGCAGAAUCGAGUCACUGAGUCCGGCCGGUGUUUAAGGGGAAGGCAUGUGCUAAACAAUUGGGAGACAGAAGCAAAUUUACACAGUCCAUGCUUUCAAGGAGCUCACAGUCAAAAUUACCAUUCCAUGUGACGACAGCAACAUUAGGAGCAUAAGUGAGGCACAGAGAUGGAAUAGAGGGUACAUUUCCAGAAGUGGAAUUAUUGAGUGAAAAGGUGUUGGGAAGAUUCCUGCUACAGAGCAGCAACCAGAGCUCAGAGAGAUACACCAAUGUGCUCUCCCGCCUGCAGCAGUGAGAGAAGGGCUCGUCUUACCACCGUCAAAAUGAUCUUGCCUUUUCAGAUUCUGAAUUGAUUUGGGUUUGGAGCGUGAGAGGUUCUGAACAUCUGCAUGAGCUGGGAGAGCAGGAGGCAAGAGGAAAGGGGACAGGAGCAAGUUCAGAAGGAGGCCAAGGCUACUGUCCUGAAAUGAAGAAGUAUGUUCCCUGCCUAGACUGGCUUGGGACAAGAAUCUCUCGGAACAAACAAAAGAGCAUGAGCAGAGCCUAGAAGAGUUUCUGGACCCCACUGACGUGAACAAAAGUCACAAGACUCUUAGUGAUGAGGAACCGGAGUUUUAUCAGAUCCCCUCUCCCACUUUAAAUAUUAUGCAAAUGUUUAUAUAUAUUGAUGCUAGUAUUAAGCAUGUGGUAAACUGUCUAGGGUUGUCAUUCCAUAAUGUGGAUUCACUCAUUCCCUAUUAACCAUUCUCUGCUUUCAUAAAGCCAAACUAUGAACUCC